GAAGCCGGUAUGAGGGGAGUUGAAGCGGAGACUCGGGAGGCGAUGUUAUUCGGGCAGGACUGACAAAUUGAAGGCGAUAGGCUAAUGGGAUCAUUUCAUAGUUAAUCGAUUUAAUUACAAGGUAGUGUUGGGACUAUCGCUGUCACUGCAUUUUAGAUAAAUUUGAAUUCCAUAUAAUUUUGUUUUAAUCGUAGCUAUUUGAACUGUCACCGUUGACUUAGGGUUAAGGUGUGGCUUUCUGCAAAAGACGAUUUUUAUCUGAACUGUAGUUAUAUUCGGAAUAGUUUUUAUGAAAGGUUCAUUUUGGGUUUUGAGGAUGUGAGACGCUUGUUAUGGGUAGAUUCGGAAGAGCUAUUUUUAAAAUGCAAUCGAUUACACAAUGUAAUCAGUGUUAAAAUGUUGCUGAGCAAUAUAGGAUAAGGUUGUAACGUUUUCGGAAGUAUGUGAAAUCGUUCUGUUCUUUCGGAAAUGCGACUUAAAAGUCGGAACAGUUCAGAGUUGAACGACACAGGGCGUGAGCUUGUAGUCGAGUUGCCUAGUCAUUUCGGAUGUGUGUGGGUGAAAAUCUCGCUGCCUAAAUUAAGGAUACUAAAAGUCUAUAUUUAGGUGAAGUCUUGAAGUUGGACCUGCACCAAUGUCAACGUGAGAAUCAAUCGCGAAGACCGAUAAAUCGUCAAAUUCCGCUUGUGAAAUAUCGGCUGUUUAGGAAAUGCUCGUCGGUGUUUCCCUUUUCAACUGCGUACCGCUUGAUGGAUUUCUACUUGCGUCCGAAUGACGUCCAACAAGCAAAGGUUAAUACCCGUCUGACCCCCUUCGCUCCACCGGCAGAGGCUGCAGAGUGCGCCCAGUAGCCCACUGGCUGACCCGCAGCAGUUCUUCACUGGCAAGCUUUAUGUCCUAGUGCAUCAGCUAAAGCUGCCAGCUGAAGAACUGUUGUGGCUGGCUCUUUCCUGGGUGCCCUACCCCAGCUCAGGCGCCAAGGAGAAGAUUCAGACGGGUGGUGGCACGAGACUCGUGCUACGCCUGUCCCAGCCAAUCUCAGGUCAGACAGGUCCGGUCUAUUCACUUUUAUUCAGAUUUAUUCAAAUGCUCUGCCCCUCCCCCCCCACCCCCCCACCCCUUCCCCUGGAAGGCUCGUGCAUGUGAGAUGUCCGAGCCUAGCUGCACAUUCUCUUCAGGCAUAAACAAAGGCUCCUGGCAGGACUUGUGCUGACUCAGCAACAUUCCUGGCCCGGUGAGGUCCUCCUGCCCUUAUUUGGGUGUGGAGUUGGUGUGGCGCUGCUCUCUCCCCUCCCCCAUCCAGCCACAACCCCACCAGUACAGCGCUCGCUGGGCAGAGGGGAGGGGCCACAGCCCGGCAUCUGGGACGGGCCGGCAGAGAACCAGAAAUGAGCUGUGUGGAGGGCUCGGGGAGAGGAACUAUUAAUUCCUCCAGUUCCCUGCGUCCUCUGGAGAGGCCCAGACUGUUGCAUGUGUUUUUUGUUUAUGAAUAAGUCAUCGGGUUCUUCCAGAGAAUGCGGGCUGGACUUGAGUCUGCGUCUCCUCGGCGCUCCCCCAGGCCAUGCUGCGAGAUGAGAUGGCAGAUUUGUUUUAUUUGUUCAGCUUACGCAUACUGUGCAUGAGUCUGACCACCAUCACAUUUUGGUGUGUGUGUGUGUGUGUGUGUGUGUGUGUGUGUGUGUGUGUGUGUGUGUGUGUGUAUAUAUAUAUUCAUUCUCUCUCUCACUCACUCAAUCUCUCACACACACACUCACUCACUCACUCACAUCCUCAGCAAGCAAUAAAUCUCACUUCAAGGGCGGCAGCGGUGCCAAAAACGGGAUAUGUAAAUGUGUCGCGCUUAAACCUCCCAGCCAGAUGAAAACUAAUGCAGAACCAGAUGCAGGAAGUGCAUGGAACCCGAGGCCCGAAAAGCACCAGUGCCCCCUCCACCCAGCGUCUGGGCCCUGUCUCUGGGCCAGCAUGGAGACGGCGCCGCUGGUUGUUAACCUUGUAUAUGCACUUAAACAUGUCCGAACCUCGAAUGGCAGGUACAAGGAUGUGAUGCAACUUAAUGUAACGAGCCUCCUGUUUUUGUCUGGCUGGAGUUUCAUGGUGGCUUCAGGCACAGAAACGGCCUGCCUGCUCGGCUCUCAGCAGGCCCCCUGUGAAACAAAAGACAAAGGGAGAGGGUAGCCUGUGCCUCUUAAAGACGGGGCAUGCAAACUGCAAGCCCAUAAGAAGCUCUGCUGGGACGUGAGGCCGAGCCCUAGUUCCCAUGGCAACCUGCGUUAACAUAGAAUGCCGUUUUACACCUUUCUAAGAGGCAUUAAAAAUAAUUUACAUUUCAUAAGUCGCUAUAAGUAUGCUCCACAUUCUAAUUUGUCGUCAUAAUGUCGUUUGUGUGGAGUCUGCUUGGAUAAGGACCACUUGUUUUGCGUAAUCCAUGUUGCAUAAUCCAUCUUGUCGAGGUGUCACUGGCUCUUCAAGCUUCAGCGGCCAUGUGGACUGGACAACUGUGAGGCAUCUGGACUCGAGGGUACUUGGAGAUACCCCAUGCAUUUAUGAUGAAUUAGUCUAGAAUUAGUUUUGUUUUAUUCAUGGUUAUAAUGUUAGUAAUUAUAGCUCUUAUGGACUUGAAUACUCUGAGUCAAAUGCCAGCAUAAUGAACAAAUAUUUUGAGAAUUUGACUUGGUCAGGCCAGUCCCAGAAGCAACCCUUUCUGACACGCCCAGGUGAGAAUCACUGUGUUGGAGUGUGUACAUGGAGUGUGGGUUAUGUCCGUGAGGUCGGAAGUUGUAAUGCUGACAGAGAUAUUUACACAAUUUACUCCAGAUAUUUGUGUGCUUUUGACUUAUUUUUUUGUCUAUGUACAAAAUAUGAUUUGAUGUUCAUUUAAGUGUAUAUUAAUAAAUAUUAAUUAAUAAUAAAAUUA